rnacentral:lncRNA from 1 species
ACAAAUGUAACAAAAAAUAAAUAAAAAUGAAAACAAUUGUAGAUGUGCAGUAUAACUGUAUUACAGAACAAAUAUAUGAUUAUAAUAAUAUAUAUGUAUAUGUUUGUGUUCGUGUACAUAGCUCUGUAAUAAAACAAAAAAAUGUAUUUUAAAGUAAGAUACAAAUAAGAAAUCCAAAAUAUUUAAAAAAAACAUGAAAACAUAUUUAUUUAAUUAUUUAAAAUAUCUGAAAAAAUAAAGAAAAAAACAUAAUAGUAAAAAAAAAAAUUAUAAAAUUAUAUACAUUAACUAUCAGAACGUUGUAUAAUAAGAAAACAUUUAAAAGCCAAUUAGACAGCAAUAUAAAAGAUUUAUUCAUAAUUAUUGUAAUAAUGUAUAAAAAUUAAAUAUAUAGUUACAUAUGAAAACAUACAUGUUAAUUUUUUUUUUUAUUUUUAAGGAUUAUGAAGAAGAAAUUUUUAGAUUACAAAAAAUAAUCAAGGAUAGGGAAAAUGAAAACGUGGAAUUAAGAGUUAAUUUUCGAGAAUUACUGCAAGAAAAAAUUAAAUUAGAAGAAGAUAUUGAAAAUUAUGAGAAGGCUAUUUACGAAAUUAACGAAAAUACAACUGCGUUGAAAGAAGCACAUAAGGCAGAAAUAAAAGAAAUUCAAGAAGAAAACUGGAAUCUUUAUUUACAGAUAGAUUUGCUUAAGGAUAAAACUAAAAACAUUGAUAUUUUAAAUAAAGAAGUACAGGACUUGAUGGUAAAAAUAAAUAAAUAAAUAAAUAAAUAAAUCAAUAAACCAAUAAAUAUAUAUAUA